GAGGGUAUAGCUCAAGUGGUAGAGCGCAUACUUAGCAUGCAUGAGGUCCUGGGUUCAAGUCCCAGUACCUCCA
rnacentral:tRNA from 1 species